CCUACGGGGAGCAGCAGUGAGGAAUAUUGGUCAAUGGGCGCGAGCCUGAACCAGCCAAGUAGCGUGAAGGAUGACUGCCCUACGGGUUGUAAACUUCUUUUAUAAAGGAGUAAAGUGAGUCACGUGUGCCUUUUUGUAUGUACUUUAUGAAUAAGGAUCGGCUAACUCCGGGCCAGCAGCCGCGGUAAUACGGUGGAUCCGAGCGUUCUCCGGAUUGAUUGGGGUUAAAGGGAGCGUAGAUGGGUUGUUAAGUCAGUUGUGAAAGGUUGCGGCGCAACCGUAAAAUUGCAAUUGAUACUGGCAGGCUUGAGUGUAGUAGAGGUAGGCGGAAUUCGUGGUGUAGCGGUGAAAUGCGUAGAUAUCACGAAGAACUCCGAUGGCGAAGGCAGCUUACUAAACUGCAACUGACAUUGAUGCGCGAAAGUGUGGGUAGCAAACAGGAUUAGAUACCCCUGUAGUC
rnacentral:rRNA from 1 species